rnacentral:piRNA from 1 species
UAAGCCUUUCAAUGGUACAAA